CCGAGGAGUCAUGCUGGUGGACAAGAUGAUGAGUCUUCUGGAGGCAGAGAAGAGAAGAGUGGGGCCUUCAGGAGUGGAGAUGCUGCUGGCUCAGUGGACGGGACGUAGAUGAAGUUUUCAGUCUUCUGAGAGGAUGUGUGUAAAGGCAUCACGAGCCACACCUGGGCCUGCUGUGCUUCAUGAUGUAACACCUCACCACCUUCCGACAGAAUAUCCCUCCUCCCUCACGGUGCAGCUGCUGUUCUUUCAGGUGUUUUACAGACAUUUCCACACAUGCAGACAUAACUGAUUACUUUCACGUUUACUUGUUUUUUUAAUCUUUAUUUUGUAAAUAAACAAGCUUUUAACUGUU